CCAUCACCUGUCCGGGCUCGUCUCGCUCGGGAAGCUGCUUGAAAAGCUGUGCGAUACUGGAGCGACGCUUGGAGGGAGCUACAUUCUCUUUCAUCAGGCAGAAGAGGCAUCCGGGGUACGGGCAUUCCUUGCAAGCGUCCAUCCUUCUGAUACUUGCGUUGCUACAGGAAAGUGAUCUCUAGGAGCAAGACUCCCAACAGUGAGCAGAGAUCUUCAUAGAGGCGGUGCUACGUUUUGAAGAGGGAGAAGAACUUACUAGCGUGGUGUGGAGGCUCUGAAUUGCUGAAGCACUAGAGGGUCCCUCCUGUCAAAAGACGAUGCACGACUGAAAAGGGGCUGCUUGUAUGAUCCGUUGA
rnacentral:lncRNA from 1 species